rnacentral:rRNA from 1 species
GACGUAGGGCGCGAGCGUUGUCCGGAUUUAUUGGGCGUAAAGAGCUCGUAGGCGGUCUGUCGCGUCGGAUGUGAAAGCCCGGGGCUUAACCCCGGGUCUGCAUUCGAUACGGGCAGACUAGAGUGUGGUAGGGGAGAUCGGAAUUCCUGGUGUAGCGGUGAAAUGCGCAGAUAUCAGGAGGAACACCGGUGGCGAAGGCGGAUCUCUGGGCCAUUACUGACGCUGAGGAGCGAAAGCGUGGGGAGCGAACAGG